rnacentral:lncRNA from 1 species
UUGGUAGAAUUGCAUUUCCUUACCUUCUUGGAGUUAGGUAAGGCCAUGCUUUAGCCAGUAAUUAUUUUAUAUUGGGAGGGAAGCUUUAAGAGCUUGAGUGUCGUUUACUUGAUUCCCAUGUUCAUCUCUAGAGACUGUGGAAGAAUAUAUCCAAAUGGAGCCUCCGUUAGGCCAGGUCUUCAUGUGUUUAGGAUGAGCCAAGCCUCCCUGUGUUCUUUGUGUUGAAUAUGUGGUGUGAGUGGGAAA